GAAUAUUUUAAGAAGAGCAUGGGCUGCGCCCAACAUUAUACUUCUUGUUUUGAAGGAAUUAAAGUAAUAUAAGAUCCAAGUAAGCAUCUAUUGCACUCCACUCGAUUAUUCACAUAUACUUUACUAUUGUUUUAAUAUACAUAAACAGAAACUAAAAAUGUGAAUAAGUUUUUUUUUUUUUAUAAAAAAAAGAGAUUCUUCAAGAAAUUUAACAGGCAAGUUUCUCAAUAAACAUUGGUUCAGAUCAGCUUCAGCAUAGCAGCUUCUAUGGCCUCCAGAUAUCAUGGCUGCACGACAAAGCAACCAGAAUGGGGCAAAGGUAGAGUACUCUGCUUUACACUUGAAACAGUAGAAUGCCAGUUCAACAAUUUGAUCUUUGCUUAGACAAUCUUUUGAAUUACACAAGCUGCACGACAGCAGCCACUCGCAAGGUCCCAUUUUGGAGUAGUUCUGCAAGUUCAUCAAAAAGUAAAGCAGUACGCCAGCCCCAUCCCUUGGGAGCUUUUGGUAAAAGAGUACCACGUUGUUUAAAGCUUCCGAAUACCAUAACUUCUCUCUUUGAAGGACAAAUCAGCUGAAAAAUUAUUUGAUGACAGAUCUCAAGUUAUUAAAAUAUAUCAUUAGAUUAAUUAUGUGCAUAUAGUUGUGUUGACAGCAGUUUUUUCAGCUGCAACUUCACCUGAUAGCGGGCAGUAACCUUCUCACGAGAGUCCACAUAGAUAUGAACCUGAAAAAAGGUAGGCUUGAUCUUGAGUGCUUAUUGAAAACUUCAAUUAUAGCAAGUAGCAAUGAUCACUAUAGUCAGCUGUUCCUUUAAGUGGCAUUUGGUGAACAAAAGUACCGAACAUCAACGGUGUUAACAGAAAAUGCAAGGAAAAUCCUCUGAUGUUGGAUACAAAUAGAACAUGUCACACUUUAAUUUGUCAUUGGUAAUGCUAACCUUUCUAAGGGAGUCAGUAAUCUCUGCCCUGCGUCGGUGAAGAAAUAAUCCUGAAAUGUUACAAAGCAUUUAAUACAAUUGAAUUACAGCAAAAUAAUUUCUUUUCAUCCUGAUAAACAUAGAAUAUCAUGUUUUCAAAAUGUGAGUCUAUAGCCAAUAGAAUAUUACCAAGAGUUCGGCGUCCUUGAGGAUCUUCAUCAUUAAAGGCCUGAACGCUAACCUUCCACAAAGAACCAGCAUAAAAAUAUUCUGGGGAAUGCUUGACUUGGCCAUCACUGAGCCUAUGCACAUCCUCGAAUUCAACCCUGUGGCACCCAUAGCCAAUUCAGACAACAAGAAGUAAUCCUCAAUCCCAUUUCAGACAAUAAUAAGGCAAAAUUGGUUGAAUAGCAGUCAUUGAUUAAGAGCACGAAAUUAAUAAGGUGUGUGUAGAAGUCGAAUUGUCAUCCAAAUUAAGAGAAUAGACCAAGAUGAGGUUAAGCAUAACAUUGGGAUUUCCCACAUAUCAGGUCAAAGGGUACUGUGAAAAAAAGGAUGCCAAUAACAAAUUUUGUGUACAACCAAUAGAAUUAAAUGAACUGGCAAUUGAAAGAAACAAAUGAGUGAUAGAGAAAAUUUUUCAAUACUGGGUGGUGGCUGAAAGGAGUCAAUAUAUCUCCUUGCGGUCUGAAGCUUCCAAGUGUCGCAUCUUUUAAAAGAUAAAUAACUAGUAGUAAGAAAUAUGUGUGGCUAGACAUGCAAAGAAAUCAACUCACCCAAAACGAAAUGGAGGGAAAUGGCUUAAAGGCGUUUUCAUAUCUAAAGAUAUAGAGGAACUGUUUGCAUUCUCCCAAUCAAUUCCAAUAGCAUGUUCUGGUGAGUCAAGCAUCUGGACAGCAACACCACUGGUACUUGUUGCUGAAAUGGAUGUUCCUGACAACCUACCUUGCAGUUCUGUCUCAUACCCUCUCUCCAUAUGCUCCCCAUGACCAUUAGUGGUGUUGCUCCCUCCUUGACUUAACCCAACAAGAGCCGUCAACCCAUCUCCUGAUAGGUCUCCAUUGUGAUCAGUUCUACUCUCUGAAUCUUCAUUAGCAAUAGAUUGCUGGCAAUUUCUAUUGCCCAUGCCAAAUGGCACACGGGAGAAGACAAAACGUGUUGGGGGCCAUGCUGCUGUUGGCACAAAUGUAGUUCCACGCCCAAUACCUGCAAGCCCAUCAAUAGGUCCCCUAACAUGCACUCGUACUGGCCUAAAAUGGCCAUUACCUUCACCUUGAGCAGAAUCAGCAACGUAUAUAUUCCCCAUGCUACCAGGAGAAUUAUUAUGAUCAUGGUCUUGCAUGUAGUAACCUGUUGUAUUAACCCCUUGAGAAAACCCAAAUGGUUGCCUGCAAGUGCAUGCCAUACUUGUGAAGCAGCAAACUUUACAUGUGUCAGCACCAAUUUCUUGCACCCUUUGGCUUAAAAGCAUCUGCAGCCAAAGACCAUCGUUCACAGCUUUGCAAGGAAAACCCAAUUCUUCAAGCUGUUUUCUCACAUUUAAAAGUGCCUCAAAAGACAUGUUAGAAUAUAAAAGUGAACCCCCUUCAAAUAUAUUGACAAACGUAUCAUAUUCCUCCCCACGAACCCCACAAUUCCCUUUUGCGUAACAUUUUAACUGUCUUCUGCCCACAACCCUACCACCCCAUGAAAGAGAAGGCAUGCCACAUCUUCCCCAAUCAUUGAGCAUAAGUCCAUUACAGGAUGGUUCCCUUGAUGAGCAAUGCCUAGAUUGAUCACCUGUAAUCCAAUUGUUGUUAUUCAAAUGGCAAGGACCUGAUUCAGAUGGCCCCUCCAUAGCCACUCCACUGGUCCCUAAUCCACUCGUUCCAACAUGGAUUGGCAUUUCAACGUAAGAACAUGAGGCUCUAUUUCCAUUCAUUUCUGAAAAUGGGUUACUCAAUGAAGAUUGUUUCGCAUCACAUGGCUGCACAGUGUCCAAAUUUGACUGUUUGGAAUCAGAAACUACCACUUGGAAGUCAUCCACAGAAUCAAUAAGUUCAACCAGAAGACCAUGAGCUGCACUUUGGCUUUUCAGUUCAUCUUGUAAACAGCGUCCUAGUUCUGAUUCCAACCUCUUUCUAGAGCAACUAUCAACCAAAUUUUUUCCCUUUGCUUUGGAAGAGUCAGAAUGAAUACCCACGCCAAUCUCAGAACUAGAAUUGCCUUGCUCAGAAUGCUCUGUCUUGCAAAAAGCACCUUUUGCAAGAAGUGUGUAUAAUGCCAGCUCAAACCGUUUCUCUUCACUAGGUACCCAUAAUUCAUCUGAGGUCAGUAAUGCAUGCAGAGUUUGGGAAGAAAGUUUUGGAAGCACCUCUUUCAAUUCCAUGGCACCACUUUGACAAAGGUAGCCCCAGCAAGCAUUUCUCACACGCUCUCCGUGUAUGCCGUAGUCUUGGCUCUCCGCAAAUACCUGAUAUGCCAAGAAGUUAGAAGUCCACAGUUCAGAUAUAAUGAAGUCCGUGCAUAUAGCACAUAAAUCCUGAAGGUCAAGAAAGGAAGCAGCAGCCAACACACGAAAUGCGUUGUUAUCAUUAAGCUUAGGGUGAUGCCCGUAAAGAUAAGCCAAAGCCAUUGCAAUUGCCUCCGCACUAACAUUCUUAUCAUCCACAUGUAGAUUCACGAUAGGAGAACUGGCUUCUUUCCAAGGACCAUGUAGCAUGUUCCUGAAGUAGGAACUGCGAGAGAGGAUGAGGCGAUGGAGAUGGUAGGUGGAGCCCAUAGCGUGGACUACAAUAUCGGAGAAGGAACCAGAAUUGAAGCCCUCCAUCUGGAUGUGGUCGCAGAGGGAAGUGAGAUUACAAUCCAGAGCCCGGAGCUCGCUUCUACUCCGGUCAUUGUCGGAGUGAUGUGAGGGCUGAAUCGUCAUUUUCAUCUGGUGCGGCCCAUAAGUUCGAGGCUGCUGUGGAUAUUGACCUUCCAUUGUUAAGUUUUUGAGGUCCUUUUGGAAUUCAGAGUGUAGAUCAAAGUAGAGGAGGAAGAAAGGAAGCCAUGGCAGAACAGAGAAAAGCUUUUUGGGCGGUAUGUACUGGGACAAGUUAUAGAUCGGAUAAGUACGGAACACGAGACACAAAAGUCACAGAUAAAACGCAGCGUUUGAAACUAUGACCCGUUCGACGACAGCGGCCAGCAGAUAUUAG
rnacentral:misc_RNA from 1 species